rnacentral:tRNA from 1 species
CAGAGAAUAGUUAAAUAGACAUUUAGAUUUGGAGUCUAAAGAUAUUUCUAUUUUUCUGA